rnacentral:rRNA from 1 species
UACGUAGGGUGCGAGCGUUGUCCGGAAUUAUUGGGCGUAAAGAGCUUGUAGGCGGUCUGUCGCGUCUGCUGUGAAAAUCCGGGGCUCAACCCCGGACUUGCAGUGGGUACGGGCAGACUAGAGUGUGGUAGGGGAGACUGGAAUUCCUGGUGUAGCGGUGAAAUGCGCAGAUAUCAGGAGGAACACCGGUGGCGAAGGCGGGACUCUGGGCCGAUACUGACGCUGAGGAGCGAAAGCGUGGGGAGCAAACAGG